GAUGAACGCUAGCGGCAGGCCUAAUACAUGCAAGACGAACGGUAAGUUGAGUAGCAAUACUUAGCCAAGAGUGUCGUACGGGUGCGUAACACGUAUGCAACCUACCCUAUACAGGAGGAUAGCCUAGGGAAACCUGGAUUAACCCUUCAUAGUAUUAUUGGAUGGCAUCAUUUGAUAAUUAAAACUGAGGUGGUAUAGGAUGGGCAUGCGUCUGAUUAGUUAGUUGGCGGGGUAAUGGCCCACCAAGACGAUGAUCAGUAGGGGUUCUGAGAGGAAGAUCCCCCCACACUGGCACUGAGAUACGGGCCAGACUCCUACGGGGAGCAGCAGUAGGGAAUAUUGGUCAAUGGAUGCAAGUCUGAACCAGCCAUGCCGCGUGCAGGAAGAAGGCCUUUCUGGGUUGUAAACUGCUUUUGAACGGGAAGAAAUCUAUUUACGUGUAAAUAGUUGACGGUACGUUA
rnacentral:rRNA from 1 species